rnacentral:lncRNA from 1 species
AAGAACUAAGAUGCGUUUGUGUAAAACUUCAUGCUCUGGACAUCUGUUACUUCAGGAGUUGGAUCUCCAAAAACUUCAUGCUCCCAGUUAGCUUUUGUGUCUCUUAUUGUGUAAAACUUCACUUAGCUUAUGCUGGUGGCUUGUGUCUCUUAUUGGCCGUGUUUGGAUCCUUCUAACUCGGUUAGAGUUAGAGUUAUUUUCUAACUCUAAUCUAACCUUAAAUUAACUCUAACUCUCGUGGAGUUUGGCUUAAGAGUUAGAUUGGGUUAGAUUAGCAUGUUUCAUUCAUCAUGCAAGUGGAUUUGAUGUGUCUACCUAAAUCUAACCCUUAUAAUCAUCCCUUGAAAGGGUUAGUUUUUUUAGGUGGGUUAGAUGCAUCUAACCCUAUUCUAACCCUCCUGUUUGGAUGCUUUAGGGAUAUUUCACCUUCAAAUAGCGAAAUCUAACUCUAACCCAGGGAUCCAAAUAGGGCCAUUGUCUCCCAGUUAGCUUAUGAUGGUGGCUUGUGUUCUCUAGCCAUUUUAUGGAUAGGACUUGGAUCCCAAAACCUUCUCACUUCUCGAGUUCGUUUAGUUUAGGAAAUUUCGAAAAACUUCUCACCAGGCAAAUAGCAAAAAAAAUAAAAAACAUCACCACCUGCACAGGCCAGGCUUUGAACCCAAAACCUCAAGUUGUAUGGAUUGGUGCACUAACCGAUUCACCUAAUGAGUGUUGUCAUUAAACUUGGACCUCCUACUUUAUUUUGAAAGGUCCCUUCGACAGGAUAUUUAAAAAAAGAAUGAAACAUUUUUAGCGUUAAUUUAGGAGCGAGGUGAAACGACAUCUGUUGAAAAAUAAUUUUUCAGGGCCACCACUGGUACGCAUGUCUUUGCGCCGCC